rnacentral:lncRNA from 1 species
AAAAAAAAACAAACAUUUCGAUCAUGGAUUACAAAACAUUCGAUCAUGGAUUACAAAAAAUUCUAUCAUGGGUUACAAAAAAAAAAAAAAAACAAAAAAUUCGAUCAUGGAUUACAAGAAAAAAAAACAAACAUUUCGAUCAUGGAUUACAAAAAAUUCGAUCAUGGAUUACAAAAAAUUCUAUCGUGGGUUAUAAAAAAGCAAAAAAACAAAAAUUUCGAUCAUGGAUUACAAAAAAAAAAAAA